rfam:Capsicum annuum cultivar Zunla-1 chromosome 7, whole genome shotgun sequence
AUACCUUUCUUGGCCUUUUGGCUAAGAUCAAGUGUAGUAUUAAUUCUUAUCAGUUUAAUAUCUGAUAUGUGGGCCAUUGGUCCACAUGAUGUUAACUCAAUGUUUGGAGGGGGAAGGUCCACCAUGGUAGCUUGCUAUUAGGGUCUUCAAGCGUCGCCUUGGCGUUGCACUACUUCCUUGGCUUGGUGCACCACAC